AUCAAAUUCGGGUCGUUGAAAGGUAGGUAACCCGCUGCCAGAACGAACAAAACCACCCCGCAUGACCAUACAUCAACCUUGGCACCAUCGUAACCUUUUUUGGCCAAAAUCUCGGGUGCCACGUAAGCAGGGGUGCCGCAAAGAGUGUGGAGCAGUCCAUCGGGUCGGAUCUGAUCCCUGACGGCACUCAAGCCGAAAUCGGAGACCCGGAGAUCCCCAUUCUCGUCGAGGAGUAAAUUUUCGGGCUUGAGGUCACGGUGGAAACCGCCGCGGGAGUGGCAGUAGCCGACGGCGGAGAUGAGCUGGUGGAAGUACCUGCGGCUGAGAUCCUCGGAGAAUCUGCCCUUGGAUAUUUUGGCGAAGAGUUCCCCUCCGCGAACGAAGUCCAUGAUGAAGUAGAUUUUGGACUUGGUGGCCAGCACCUCGUGGAGGCGCACGAUGUUCGGGUGGUGGAGCCUGCUCAUGAUCGCGAUCUCGCGCUUCACGUUCCCGGCCAGGCCCGUUCCGGCCAGCUUCUUCUUGUUUAUGAUCUUAACGGCCACGCUGUGCCCCGUUUGCACGUUGCGGGCGUAGUGCACCUUCGCGAACGCGCCGCACCCCAGCAUGCGCCCGAGCUCGUAUUUCCCGAACAGCGCGCCGUUCUCCGCCGCCUGUGCCGCCGUGGCCUCGAUCUCCGGCAUGGUUGCGCAGGCGAUGCCAGAGACCGAAUGAACGUACACUAGAGCCCAAACUGAAUGGUGGGUUAUGCGAUUGGAGGGGCCAAUUGAAAUGGGUCGCUUGCAGAAUUCGAUUUUUUCUUUUUUCGGGGGGAAAUGAGGUUGUGUUGCUGAGUUUUUUUUUUCUUUUUUUUUUUCGGUUCUUUGGGGGAAAUGUGGGGGUUUUGGUUUUUGGUUUGUUGGGCACGACGGGUUGGGAGGGAAGACAGAGGAUUGUGAGGUGGUGUGGGACCCACGUCACACGUCACACGUCACACGUCACACGUCGCACGUGCGUGGAGAUGGAGUUGAUUUUGUCUUUGAAUUUUGACACGUGUCGAUGCUUAUGCUUACGUUUUGGUGCAUGAAAACGAGAAUGGACGGUGCUUUCUUCGCUGUUUA